rnacentral:rRNA from 1 species
AACGAACGCUGGCGGCAGGCUUAACACAUGCAAGUCGAACGCGCCCUUCGGGGCGAGUGGCAGACGGGUGAGUAACGCGUGGGAACCUACCUCAUGGUGCGGAAUAACUCAGGGAAACUUGGGCUAAUACCGCAUGUGCCCGAAAGGGGAAAGAUUUCUCGCCAUGGGAUGGGCCCGCGUCGGAUUAGCUAGUUGGUGGGGUAACGGCCUACCAAGGCGACGAUCUGUAGCGGGUCUGAGAGGAUGAUCCGCCACACUGGGACUGAGACACGGCCCAGACUCCUACGGGAGGCAGCAGUGGGGAAUAUUGGACAAUGGGGGGAACCCUGAUCCAGCCAUGCCGCGUGUGUGAAGAAGGCCUUAUGGUUGUAAAGCACUUUAAGCGAGGAGGAGGCUCUUUUGGUUAAUACCCAAGAUGAGUGGACGUUACUCGCAGAAUAAGCACCGGCUAACUCUGUGCCAGCCGCCGCAGUAAAAC